UCGAAAGAAGUUGAAGUGGACGGCAGUCCCAAGUAGCUAGUUUUGCAUACCGGACACCUACGAGGCUGAGGAAGGCUCCUAUCCCCCGUUCUUCGCACGCAGAGUUCUCCGAGGAGUCACCAAAAGACUUGCACACUGAAGUUGAUGACAACCUAGUGUAAGAUCAAUGGGCAGUGGAGGAUGAGGAAGUCAACACCGUCACAAAUUUCUGUGACCACAGCAUCGAGGAAUAUGCACAGGAAAAACCUGCAGACAAGUCAUGUGAUGAUCCCCUCGACGAGGUCGCAGAAACGAGUAAAUGCUGAGACGGAAUGUAGUGACUUGAAGCUCACGGUCUACUCCUCAUGGAAGAUCAACUGCUUGCGUUGGAUCGGGGGAUUGGAAGAACAAUCCACAGCACUUUACAUGCGCGUCGAAAAAAGUUGGCAUUCACAUAGCCAUUGAACGUGUGAAAUAGAAAUUUAAUUGCGAAGAGAUGAGAAUAAAACUGGUGUAGGUUAUUUAU